rnacentral:rRNA from 1 species
AACGAACGCUGGCGGCAGGCUUAACACAUGCAAGUCGAACGCCCCGCAAGGGGAGUGGCAGACGGGUGAGUAACGCGUGGGAACGUGCCCUUCGCUUCGGAAUAGCCCCGGGAAACUGGGAGUAAUACCGAAUACGCCGUAUUGGGAAAGAUUUAUCGGCGAAGGAUCGGCCCGCGUUGGAUUAGCUAGUUGGAGGUGUAAUGGACCCCCAAGGCUACGAUCCAUAGCCGGUCUGAGAGGAUGAUCAGCCACACUGGGACUGAGACACGGCCCAGACUCCUACGGGAGGCAGCAGUGGGGAAUCUUGGACAAUGGGCGCAAGCCUGAUCCAGCCAUGCCGCGUGAGUGAAGAAGGCCUUAGGGUUGUAAAACUCUUUCGCCGGAGAAGAUAAUGACGGUAUCCGGAGAAGAAGCCCCGGCUAACUUCGUGCCAGCAGCCGCCGUAAGAC